CUGGCUCAGGACGAACGCUGGCGGCGUGCCUAAUACAUGCAAGUCGAACGGUCUUUCUAUGGAAGCUUGCUUCCACUGAAAAGAUAGUGGCGAACGGGUGAGUAACACGUGGGGUAACCUGCCCAUAAGAGGGGGGAUAACAUCCGGAAACGGGUGCUAAUACCGCAUAGUUUUCUUGAUCGCAUGAUCGGGAAAGGAAAGACGGCCUUUGUGCUGUCGCUUAUGGAUGGACCCGCGGCGUAUUAGUUAGUUGGUGAGGUAACGGCUCACCAAGACGAUGAUACGUAGCCGACCUGAGAGGGUGAUCGGCCACAUUGGGACUGAGACACGGCCCAAACUCCUACGGGAGGCAGCAGUAGGGAAUCUUCCGCAAUGGACGAAAGUCUGACGGAGCAACGCCGCGUGAGUGAAAGAAGGUUUUCGGAUCGUAAAACUCUGUUGUCAGAGAAGAACAAGUUGGAGAGUAACUGCUCCAGCCUUGACGGUAUCUGACCAGAAAGCCACGGCUAACUACGUGCCAGCCGCCGC
rnacentral:rRNA from 1 species